AUGCUGUGGAACAAGCACCAUGGCAACAAGCAGCUCAUUGGAGCAUUUGAAGUCACAACCCCUCCUUGGUGGCGAACCGUCGAGCAUCCCCUUGCUCAGCAGGAAGCCAUCUUGCAGCUUGAGGCACACGGCCAAGCUGGGAACAUUUUUCUCCUCAAGCUUCGGUUCCUCGUGCUCGCAGCUUUUCCUCAGAGCACAAACAAAGUUGCGGUGGCGAUGCUCGUCGUGGCUGCAACAUUUGUGUUUAUGCCGUUCUGGAGCAUAGCCAUGGUCGUUCUGUUGGAGGCUUACAUGAGACAUAUGUCGUUGAGGAAGAAGAGCAGCGAGAAGCUGGUGAGGAGGUUUCUUGCAUGGAUGAUUUGUCUCUGUCUUUAG
rnacentral:rRNA from 1 species